AGGUUACACCCUUACCAGCAGCUGUCUGAAUGACGGAUAGAUCUGAUAUGUCGUUGAUAAAUGAUGGUUCUUAAGCGGGCCUAUCAGAACAACUUUCGGCCAACUGUUGCAGCCAUCAGGCCUCUAAACUAUUAAAUUACUGGACCCUUUGUCGGCGAGCUCUACGAUUCAACUGAUGGGGACUUAGUGUCAAAAGGAAAUUGGUUUUGUAAUUAAAAUCAACGAAAGCUACUGUUCAAAUUUUAAAUAUAUGACUCUACAAGAUUAGUGGUA